rnacentral:rRNA from 1 species
CCCCUCAGUCCUGCGGCUCACAUUCACCUCUCUCUCAACGCCGGUCGCCGCCUAGAUGUGUCACCUGACUUGCCACCGUCCUCCACUCUCGUCUCAGAUUUGACCCCAAAGUCAAGCGGCAGGCAGCAGCAGCAGGUUCCCGUGUCGCCAUGAGCUGGAUGGGGAAGCGGGGGUUGGGUGGGGAGAGCCCGCACUGGCGGAGAAGACGGACGAGGACCGGCGGCCCCAGAGCUACCUCGCCGCCGCGUCCAGUUCAACCCUGCCUCCUGCAAGCACGGCGACUUCUUCGACACCGUCUGGGCGGGCCACGACUAACCACGCCCAAUCUCUUCAGGUCAGUACAGUACAGUACAGUAGGGAAUUUGGGAUUUUUUUUUUGAAACUGAAAUUGAGGAAAUUUUGACACAAAUAAAUGUGGAGACUGAGUUGUUUGGUCAAUUAGUUAAUCAACACGUACACCAGAGACAAUUUGUUCCAACAUUGACACGAUUUGUGAUCUAGAGAUAAUGAGAUAUGCUCAUGUUCUAUUGCUACUCGAACCAUGACAUGUACCGUGGUUUUCGUGGGAUAAUAUAAUUGAGUCCAUUCAAUCCGUUGAGGCCUCGUGGUUAUCUAUUUUUUUUCAUGUUUCUCGCGUAGUGGUUAGUGCCUGCCUCGCAGCCAUGGACUCCUGUUACCGAAUUAUUUGGCGAUCUGGCGCUGAUUUUUUGGUGCGGCCACCAAAAAAUUCUCGCGCGCCGGCGCACCACGCACCAAAUCAGGUCCUAAACUAACCGCCAUAGUCUCCUGGUCCUCUUUGAAAACAAACACAUCCUCGUUCUCCAAACCAAUCUAGCUCGAGGGGUGCCCGACGUCCCUCUGCUUCCACUCCGACUAGUCAGGAGUUCCUCUGCUCAAUCGGCACGCAGCGAUCACAGUGGGGCGCCACGGUAUCAUUCUCUUCUCCCUCCCCAUUCCCCUCUCUCCUCGUCUCUCUCACACCCCCUUGAGUACUUUUCUUCUUUUCUGUCUUGCGUGAUUGUGCUGAUUGUCCAUUAUUUGUACGUUGCAAUUUCUUUUCUGCACGAACCAUCAGUAUUGGUCUGUUGGCGGUUCAUAAUUUUAGUUUGACAAUUUUUCUUGUUGUACAAGUUGAACUUGUUUUCUUUCUUUUCUUUCUAAACCAUGUUAGCCGGGAACUAAUUAUGUAAGAAACAGAGAGAAUAUUUGUAGAACCUUAAAUCUAGGAUUCA